rnacentral:rRNA from 1 species
CCUACGGGAGGCAGCAGUGAGGAAUAUUGGUCAAUGGCCGAGAGGCUGAACCAGCCAAGUCGCGUGAGGGAAGAAUGUCCUAUGGAUUGUAAACCUCUUUUGUCAGGGAGCACAGUCACCCACGUGUGGGUGUUGGAGAGUACCUGAAGAAAAAGCAUCGGCUAACUCCGUGCCAGCAGCCGCGGUAAUACGGAGGAUGCGAGCGUUAUCCGGAUUUAUUGGGUUUAAAGGGUGCGUAGGCGGAAUGCCAAGUCAGCGGUAAAAUCGCGGGGCUCAACCUCGCUCCGCCGUUGAAACUGGCGGUCUUGAGUGGGCGAGAAGUAUGCGGAAUGCGAGGUGUAGCGGUGAAAUGCAUAGAUAUCACGCAGAACUCCGAUUGCGAAGGCAGCAUACCGGCGCCCAACUGACGCUGAGGCACGAAAGCGUGGGUAGCGAACAGGAUUAGAUACCCCAGUAGUC